rfam:Candidatus Nomurabacteria bacterium GWB1_40_6 gwb1_scaffold_6086, whole genome shotgun sequence.
UGGGGGAUCGUCUAAUGGUAGGACACGUCCCUUUGAAGGACGUUAUUUUGGUCCGAAUCCAAAUCCCCCAG